GGAGGAGGAGAGAGAGGCGAGGGGGAAGAGCGCAGCGCGGGGCGCGGAGAGCUCCGGGGCUGGGUUUGCCAGGGAGCUGGGCACUGGGACCGCGGCGGUGCUGGCGGCGGCGGGCGAUGCUGCUGCUGCCUGCUUACCCCGGGCUCCGCUGCUGGGGGUAAAGGCUCAGCCAAGCCGAAGCCAACGGGCAAGAGAGUCCGAAGCGGGACUGGAGUUGGAGGAGAGAGAGAGAGGGAAAGAGGAGGAGGUGGUGGAGGAGGAUGGGCUGCGGGGGGAGUCGCGCCGAUGCCAUUGAGCCCCGCUACUACGAGAGCUGGACCCGAGAGACCGAGUCCACCUGGCUGACUAACACGGACACGGACCUGCAGCUCUCGGCAACCACGACAGCCGCCGGGCUCAGCCCCGGGGAACCGGACAGCGGCCCAGAGACUGGCGGCCUGCGGGACCAGGGCUCCCUGUACACGGAUUAGGAAGCUGAAAAUCAGGAAGAUUAAACAAUUUGCCCAAAUCCCUGGUCAACAGCAGAAGAGGUGCAAAAAUCCAGGUGAAAAAAGAGCCCAAGCAGAUGCCAGCAAGAGAAGUCACCAUCAGUGUUACCAAAAGCAUCCAACAAAUGGACAGAUAUAGAAGAAUUGAGUGAAUUAGCUGUGUUUUCAAAUCAAAGAAGAUGGACACUAGCAUCAUUUGGCAGUGCUUUGCUGAUGUCUCAAUGGAAUGUAAAGAAGGAUGGAUGCUCCCAAUUGAAUAGGCUAAACUGCUGAGUGCCUUGGGUUACUUUGUGUCUCUUACCUGGUAGCCAACAGUUGCCAUCAGUGUUUGGACAUUCACUGAUCUGUGUUUAUCUAAGGUUUUGGCACAGUACUCCUAUAUGAUAAUAAAUUGCUGAUGGGCCAAUUGGUUUUUCCCCCCUCUCUCCAGGUUCUAUCAGAUGUUCUACCCCAGGUCUGACAUCUGGAAUUGCAGUGGUCUACUGCAGUCACAAGUCACUUUUUGAAAAGGAAAAUGACAGGGGAAGAGUGUAACAAUAGGGGAGAGUUAUUACCCAAGAGCAGUCACUAAAUAUUUCUGGGUCAUCACUCUAGUGGUAUUUUUAUACUUGUGUCCCAAAACUUUCAGCAUUUCAGUUGGCUUCAAAAUUGGCUUUUUUCCAACUCCCCAAAGAGAGAAACCAAGAAAUAGGAAAUCAUCAAUUUUGUUUUUAUUUCAGCAUGAGAGUAAAGAUUCAGAUUCAUCCCAGUGCUAUAAUGAUGUCUCUUUUUCCCAUGAGGAAGCAAUCCUUGAUAGGGGAGGGAAAACAUUUCCUGUGUCAUCCUUCUCCUACAGGAGGUGCUAUGUUAGCUCCAAAGAGUAAUUGCAGAGCAUGGGGUCCACUCAGCCAAUCUGGGGAGCUGUUUUGGAUCAUUUGGUACAAAUGAAUUCAUUUUUCCUGUUUACGAAAUCUGUAUUCUUCCAUAGGAUCAGAAAAGUGGAAAGAACAUUGGGCUUAGAGCCAAAUUCCACCUCUAUAAUAUGUCUUACCUAUGUGACCAUAGGGAAGUCAUUUCUCUCUCUGAGCUUCAUCUAUAAAUGAGGUAGUUGAAUGAAGUGGCAUAUAUGGUCCCUUCUAGCUCUAAAUCUACGUACAUGUCAUCUAGAAUUGGAAAAGAUCUUAUUGGUCAAUCAGAUCCAACCCACUUACUUUAUAGGGAAGGAAAUAGAAGCCCAGAAAUAUGAGUAACUUGCUCAUAUUCACAGAAGUUAAGAGGCAUAGAGCUUGGAUUUGAACCUGGAUCCCCUUUACACCUAGCACUCUGUCCCCUGAGAACAAUGGUUUUCAGGAGAGUUGUAUGAUAACACUAAAAUAACUAAUCAAAGGCUAUUUAUCAUCCUAUGAAUUAAGAAAUCAAGGAACAUUUCAGUGGCACAAACUGAUUUUCCCUUUGUGCUGCCUUCUAGAUAAAUAACCUAAAGCAGAUCCCAGGGAUUAUGUCAUCUUGGAACCUAGGAAGUCAUCAUGUUAAGAAACUAUCAGAAUAAUGUGCAUUUACUCUUCUUAGAAAAUUUAUACAGUAAAAAAAAUAAACUUUUGGUAGACAACUAUUUUCUAGCAGUCCUAUAAAAUGAUGGAGAAAUGUAUAUAUUUAGCUGAAAACAUUUUUUCCCCACCAAUAAUAUUACAUGCAUUUCUAAGCUGUGUAACACACCUGGGAUCUUCCUAAGGGAGAAAUAAGGGUUCUUUCAUCUGCUGCUGUUUAAAUAAACUCAAUUUUUAGCUGAAGUAGGCAAUCUGUGUGUUUAUGUAACCUAUGUUUAUGUAACCUAUGCACAUGCAGGUGAAAAUACAGUUA
rnacentral:lncRNA from 1 species